CUCCAGCCCCUUCCCAUCAAGCCCCGCCCCUUUCAGCUUUCCAAGUCCUCUGCUAUCCCCGGUUGACUCCAGCCUUGACCCUCCCGUGCUGUCUGUCAUAAUUACUCCCCUCUGCCCUUUUAUCCGUAAACUCCACCCCUAGUGACAGACAGCAGGGCCUCAGGGGUUUGAGAGGAUGAAGGGGACCUCUUAGCCACUCCUCCCCUCCCUCCCUCACACACACACACACACACACACACACACACACACACUGUGUAGGCUGCCAGGCAUAUGGCCCCUUUGUACCCACACAAUGGAGACCCUGCCUGUGCCCCUUUCAUCUGGGCACAGCGCUCCUCUCCCUCUUUCACUCACCUUCCUUCCUUCCCAGUGCGGUGCUGGCCUUCUUUGCCUUCUCUUUCUGACUCUUGCUUUCUUAUGUCCUUUCCAUAAGCUCUUGAAAUCUGAUUGAGUGAGGAUUGGAGGCAGGAGAAAGAAGCUGACAGGAAGGUCACAAUCCCUGAAUGCUAGUUUGCCAGAGAGAAGCGGGAAGAGAGCAGAGAGGGAGCUGGGGAGAAGGGAGGUGGUGUGGUGGCCACAGCAGAACCAGCAGCGUUGUGCCGGAGGGGAGAGAAUGCCCUGUGGCCUAGCCCCAUCCUCGACUUUUAUGCUUUGUGCCAUAAUGAGCAAAGCACGUGCCUCCCUGCGCCUCAACUUCCUCCUCUGCAGCAUGUGAAGGAACAGCUUCACCUGCAUGGAAAGCACACGCUUCUUCAGCGCUGACCCUUCCUUGGAGAGCGUCCACUGCCACGUCUUGAGCCCUUUGCAUCUCUGCUGGAGACUCAAACUUCCAGGGUUCCGGGGGGGCCUGUGGCUGGCCUGCCCCAACCCUGCUGCCUCAGGCCCAUGAGCUGAGCUAAAAGUGAAAGCCUCCAAUAUCAUCCUCAGAGAGAGAAGAGGGAUGGAACUUAUUCCAGUUUGAUGCCUGAUUUCUGUUAAUCCUGAAGCUUCAUUUGUUGACAUCCUGACUUAGGUUUCAAGCUUUAGGUGGGGAGAAACUACAGAGU
ensembl:lncRNA